UUCCGGGUUGAUCCUGCCGGACCUGACUGCUAUCAGAUUGAUACUAAGCCAUGUUAGUCAUUGUAGUAAUACAAGGCAGACAGCUCAGUAACGCGUAGUCAACCUAACUUAUGGACGGAAAUAACCUCGGGAAACUGAGGAUAAUGUCCGAUAGAUCAUUAUGCCUGGAAUGGUUUAUGGUCGAAACGAAUAUCGCCGUAGGAUGGGACUGCGAGCUAUCAGCUUGUUGGUGAGGUAAUGGCCCACCAAGGCUAUAACAGCUACGGGCUCUGAGAGGAGUAGCCCGGAGAUGGGUACUGAGACAAGGACCCAGGCCCUAUGGGGCGCAGCAGGCGAGAAAACUUUGCAAUGCGCGAAAGCUCGACAAGGUUAAUCUGAGUGGUUCCUGCUAAAGGAACCUUUUGUUAUGUCCGUGAGAACC
rnacentral:rRNA from 1 species